UCGAUCCGAUCCGACCCGACCCAAAUCGUGAAAAAGUACCGGAGUCCCUCAAAACUAGGGCUUCUUCUCCGCUGUUUCCCUCGCUCAUCGCGCUCGGGAAGCAGAAAGGAAUCGCCUUGUGAUCGUUAGCGGCGAAAUAUGAUUAGCAUCCUUACUCAGGAACGUCUUCUUGGCGUUGCCUUGGGGGCCGCCUUCGCGGCUUCGGUUGUUUUGGAGAACCGCAGGGCGAUACACGGAUCGAUUUCUGACAACAGACCCGCAUAUUAUGAGGAGCACAUGCUUGGGAAGAAGAUGUCUUCUGAAUUUGCCCAGAUGUGGAACAAAGCUGUCGAUGGGACACUAGGACAACUAAUUAUAUAUCUCAGCUCACGUGGAUGGUAGUGAGUUCUCAGGAUGACUUAUCCAGAGCAAAAAUCUAAGCAGUUGCUUCAAUCUGCUCGGCAUAUAUUUUCAUGGUUUGAUGUGGAUGCCCUAAUGUUUGUCUGGUCUGUGUUUCUGAAAUUUUGCAUUUCAACUUGUCUGAUGUGCAUGUUUGAUGGAAUUUGUUCAGAGUAAUUUUUCUAUAUCAAGAUGGAUUUUCGAUAAGAAAACCAGAGUUUGUAAUAUUUUACUGAUUGUCACUCUAAUAAUCCACACAGAAUUUAUGUUCUUCAAA